GCAUGCUCAGAAAUGUGCGUCUCGUGGUUGAGGGCGUCUCAGGUACUUUACAUGCUUAAAAAGUUUUAGGGAGGGAUUGUUCUUGUGUUUUUGUUUUUGUUUCGGUUUUUCAACUUAUUCUCCCGGAUGAGGAGUUGGUAGUUUCUGACAGUUGAUGCUAGAGUGCUGGAAAGCUAGCGUAAACAACUUCAGCGUUUCAGUAGCCUUCUGGAAGACCUUGGAGGGACGCGGCCUGCGCGGGGAACGGCGCCAUCCCGUCCUUUUCGCCCCCAACGCGGUGGUUGUCAUUUGUAAUUUCCCACAGAAGAUGCGUUUUCACUGAAGAUUUUGGCCUUGCUACUGAAAUUCCUGAUCAAAAUGUUUUCUCUCAGUUGGACAAUUUUUGGAAACCAAAGAUUGGCACUGUGGAAAAGGAGAAGAAAGCAGAACCAAAGCUCCAUCCUGUUCAUCUUAACUCUCUCUCAAACUCAACACUCAAAUAAUCCCCAAGAAUCUGGUUGCUUCAACUCCUCCGUAGUAAUGUCUGUGUGCAGAAAACUGCAUCAUGAUUAGCAGUCUUUCCUCACUUUAUUCUUUAGGUGAAUCCUGGCAAACCAUGAGAUAAGAAGCUCCCAGGGCCACUGCUCCAGUUCUUCAGACCUUCAUGCCCUGUUGAUCAGACAUCAGCACCAACUGGGGUUCAGAUCUGUUGCCAUCUUUAAAGGAAGUGGAAAGAGUAAUAAAACUCUGGAAUGAUCCUGUCACAGUAGGAACUGACGCUGUGGUGUUCUUGCUUAAGGCGCAGCCAGAGUGCACUUCUGUUUUAUAUAAUAAAGAUUCUUCAGCGAAAAGAAAAAAA